UGGGGAUUAUCUUUUGGUUUAGAAGUCACCUCUAGAAUUUGCUGUGCUGCUGGCAAGGAAUAUUAAGGUUUUGUUAACUUGGGUGGCACCCAGGAGAAGGGCGUGGCCCUAGCGUUACUCUAUGAAGUUUGUUCCAAGAUUGUAGAUUUGUUUUCCAGAUUACCACAUGGAUCCAUGAAAAGGUAGCAGUUCCCCCAACCAAACACCUGAAGGGUGCCAGAAAAGUCAAAUGGCUCCAGAGGCAACCACCAUCAAAGUACCAUCUAACGCCUCUCGAAGAAGAUCUUGAGCUGUAGAUAACCUAGAACACCACCGGAAGAAGCCUUCACACGACCAGCUAAGUUUUUUUAAUAUAAUCUUAUACUUGCCUGUUAACA